AGCGUACACGGUGGAUGCCCUGGCAGUCAGAGGCGAUGAAGGACGUGCUAAUCUGCGAAAAGCGUCGGUAAGGUGAUAUGAACCGUUAUAACCGGCGAUGUCCGAAUGGGGAAACCCAGUGCAAUUCGUUGCACUAUCGUUAACUGAAUACAUAGGUUAACGAGGCGAACCGGGGGAACUGAAACAUCUAAGUACCCCGAGGAAAAGAAAUCAACCGAGAUUCCCCCAGUAGCGGCGAGCGAACGGGGAGCAGCCCAGAGUCUGAAUCAGCUUGUGUGUUAGUGGAACGGUCUGGAAAGUCCGACGGUACAGGGUGAUAGUCCCGUACACCAAAAUGCACAGGUUGUGAACUCGAAGAGUAGGGCGGGACACGUGGUAUCCUGUCUGAAUAUGGGGGGACCAUCCUCCAAGGCUAAAUACUCCUGACUGACCGAUAGUGAACCAGUACCGUGAGGGAAAGGCGAAAAGAACCCCGGCGAGGGGAGUGAAAAAGAACCUGAAACCGUGUACGUACAAGCAGUGGGAGCACCUUCGGGUGUGACUGCGUACCUUUUGUAUAAUGGGUCAGCGACUUAUAUUCUGUAGCAAGGUUAACCGUAUAGGGGAGCCGCAGGGAAACCGAGUCUUAACUGGGCGUUAAGUUGCAGGGUAUAGACCCGAAACCCGGUGAUCUAGCCAUGGGCAGGUUGAAGGUUGGGUAACACUAACUGGAGGACCGAACCGACUAAUGUUGAAAAAUUAGCGGAUGACUUGUGGCUGGGGGUGAAAGGCCAAUCAAACCGGGAGAUAGCUGGUUCUCCCCGAAAGCUAUUUAGGUAGCGCCUCGUGAACUCAUCUUCGGGGGUAGAGCACUGUUUCGGCUAGGGGGUCAUCCCGACUUACCAACCCGAUGCAAACUACGAAUACCGAAGAAUGUUAUCACGGGAGACACACGGCGGGUGCUAACGUCCGUCGUGAAGAGGGAAACAACCCAGACCGCCAGCUAAGGUCCCAAAGUCAUGGUUAAGUGGGAAACGAUGUGGGAAGGCACAGACAGCCAGGAUGUUGGCUUAGAAGCAGCCAUCAUUUAAAGAAAGCGUAAUAGCUCACUGGUCGAGUCGGCCUGCGCGGAAGAUGUAACGGGGCUAAACCAUGCACCGAAGCUGCGGCAGCGACACUAUGUGUUGUUGGGUAGGGGAGCGUUCUGUAAGCCUGCGAAGGUGACCUGUGAGGGUUGCUGGAGGUAUCAGAAGUGCGAAUGCUGACAUAAGUAACGAUAAAGCGGGUGAAAAGCCCGCUCGCCGGAAGACCAAGGGUUCCUGUCCAACGUUAAUCGGGGCAGGGUGAGUCGACCCCUAAGGCGAGGCCGAAAGGCGUAGUCGAUGGGAAACAGGUUAAUAUUCCUGUACUUGGUGUUACUGCGAAGGGGGGACGGAGAAGGCUAUGUUAGCCGGGCGACGGUUGUCCCGGUUUAAGCAUGUAGGCUGGUUGUCCAGGCAAAUCCGGAUAAUCAAGGCUGAGGUGUGAUGACGAGGCACUACGGUGCUGAAGUAACAAAUGCCCUGCUUCCAGGAAAAGCCUCUAAGCAUCAGGUAACAUCAAAUCGUACCCCAAACCGACACAGGUGGUCAGGUAGAGAAUACCAAGGCGCUUGAGAGAACUCGGGUGAAGGAACUAGGCAAAAUGGUGCCGUAACUUCGGGAGAAGGCACGCUGGUGUGUAGGUGAAGUCCCUGCGGAUGGAGCUGAGACCAGUCGAAGAUACCAGCUGGCUGCAACUGUUUAUUAAAAACACAGCACUGUGCAAACACGAAAGUGGACGUAUACGGUGUGACGCCUGCCCGGUGCCGGAAGGUUAAUUGAUGGGGUUAUCCGUAAGGAGAAGCUCUUGAUCGAAGCCCCGGUAAACGGCGGCCGUAACUAUAACGGUCCUAAGGUAGCGAAAUUCCUUGUCGGGUAAGUUCCGACCUGCACGAAUGGCGUAAUGAUGGCCAGGCUGUCUCCACCCGAGACUCAGUGAAAUUGAACUCGCUGUGAAGAUGCAGUGUACCCGCGGCAAGACGGAAAGACCCCGUGAACCUUUACUAUAGCUUGACACUGAACAUUGAGCCUUGAUGUGUAGGAUAGGUGGGAGGCUUUGAAGCGUGGACGCCAGUCUGCGUGGAGCCAACCUUGAAAUACCACCCUUUAAUGUUUGAUGUUCUAACGUUGGCCCCUUACCGGGGUUGCGGACAGUGUCUGGUGGGUAGUUUGACUGGGGCGGUCUCCUCCCAAAGCGUAACGGAGGAGCACGAAGGUUAGCUAAUCCUGGUCGGACAUCAGGAGGUUAGUGCAAUGGCAUAAGCUAGCUUGACUGCGAGCGUGACGGCGCGAGCAGGUGCGAAAGCAGGUCAUAGUGAUCCGGUGGUUCUGAAUGGAAGGGCCAUCGCUCAACGGAUAAAAGGUACUCCGGGGAUAACAGGCUGAUACCGCCCAAGAGUUCAUAUCGACGGCGGUGUUUGGCACCUCGAUGUCGGCUCAUCACAUCCUGGGGCUGAAGUAGGUCCCAAGGGUAUGGCUGUUCGCCAUUUAAAGUGGUACGCGAGCUGGGUUUAGAACGUCGUGAGACAGUUCGGUCCCUAUCUGCCGUGGGCGCUGGAGAAUUGAGGGGGGCUGCUCCUAGUACGAGAGGACCGGAGUGGACGCAUCACUGGUGUUCGGGUUGUCAUGCCAAUGGCACUGCCCGGUAGCUAAAUGCGGAAGAGAUAAGUGCUGAAAGCAUCUAAGCACGAAACUUGCCCCGAGAUGAGUUCU
rnacentral:rRNA from 2 species